GGUCAAAUGCCCGAGUGGUCUAAGGGGGCGGCCUGCAAAGUCGUUAUACAUUGGUUCGAAUCCAAUUUUGACCUCCA
rnacentral:tRNA from 1 species